UUUUCUCUCUUUCUUUUUUCAGUGCUCUCUCGCUCUCAACGAUGUGACGACGACUUAGCACGACGUCAUUCCUCAGUAAGAUGAACGAGGCGACUAGUAUUUACGCGAGGAACGAUGAAGCGUUUGCGAGAUAAGCAUCGAGUCGUUGGUGUACAUCUAAGCGUCGUUAUCCAGUUUCUUUGUCGAAGAUUAUCAUCCUGCAUGACGGCUGUCGUGAUCCAUCCUAUGAAGUAGAUAACUGUCUCGAGGUUGCAUUCCGUAAUCGACAUUAGCAAUCAUAGAGUUAACUGAGAUGUGAGUGCUAUUGUAGACACGAGGUUGACAAUAAGUACGAUUGUAUUAUAGUUUAGAAGGUGGUCUUUGUUUCAUUGGAUGCGGUCUGUCGCCAGCAUCAUCAUCGUUUUUUUGGUCUUCGACAACAGUAAAACUUCUUUCCAAAGCCAAUUGUACCGUACAGAAGAAUUGUUAAGAAUUGGAUAAUGAAAUAAAUUAAGUAAAUAAGAA